rnacentral:rRNA from 1 species
CCCGCUGAGUUUAAGCAUAUCAAUAAGCGGAGGAAAAGAAACUA